rnacentral:rRNA from 1 species
UUCGGGACAAGCCCUGGAAACGGGGUCUAAUACCGGAUAUCACUCCUGCCUGCAUGGGUGGGGGUUGAAAGCUCCGGCGGUGGAGGAUGAGCCCGCGGCCUAUCAGCUUGUUGGUGAGGUAAUGGCUCACCAAGGCGACGACGGGUAGCCGGCCUGAGAGGGCGACCGGCCACACUGGGACUGAGACACGGCCCAGACUCCUACGGGAGGCAGCAGUGGGGAAUAUUGCACAAUGGGCGAAAGCCUGAUGCAGCGACGCCGCGUGAGGGAUGACGGCCUUCGGGUUGUAAACCUCUUUCAGCAGGGAAGAAGCGAAAGUGACGGUACCUGCAGAAGAAGCGCCGGCUAACUACGUGCCAGCAGCCGCGGUAAUACGUAGGGCGCAAGCGUUGUCCGGAAUUAUUGGGCGUAAAGAGCUCGUAGGCGGCUUGUCACGUCGGGUGUGAAAGCCCGGGGCUUAACCCCGGGUCUGCAUUCGAUACGGGCAGGCUAGAGUGUGGUAGGGGAGAUCGGAAUUCCUGGUGUAGCGGUGAAAUGCGCAGAUAUCAGGAGGAACACCGGUGGCGAAGGCGGAUCUCUGGGCCAUUACUGACGCUGAGGAGCGAAAGCGUGGGGAGCGAACAGGAUUAGAUACCCUGGUAGUCCACGCCGUAAACGGUGGGAACUAGGUGUUGGCGACAUUCCACGUCGUCGGUGCCGCAGCUAACGCAUUAAGUUCCCCGCCUGG